GUUCCUUCUAUCCCUGUAUACAACUAUUUGUAAUUACGUGUGUCUGCUGCAUUCAUCUUCACAGAUCUCAUACUGCAUAUCAGAUGUGGGUGAUUCCAGAGGGCCUCUGCACAGGAAACCUUUCCCACCAUGGACCCCAAAGGUUCCUGUCACAGCUGUAGGGAGCGUCUGGGGAUACCUGCUAUGACUAGUAAAGAAAAAGAAGAAGUAUGGAUGGAAGACUGUUUUAAUGUCAUUUUGGAAGUCCC
rnacentral:lncRNA from 1 species